AAUGAAAGCUAGUGGUGCGCCUUACACAUGCAAGUCAUAUUUGUAAUCAAAUGGCGAACGGGUGAGUAAAACCCAGGAAUCUACCUUUAUACUCGCUAGCCCUCGGAUAAACCUCCUUACUUGGUCUUUGGGCUAAGCAAGGAAGUAAUACGGGAUAAAACAGCGAAAUACCUGCGAUAUAGCGGUUCUGAUUCAUUCUUUACUGCGGCUAGAGAUGAGCCUGGGCCAAACUAGGUAGUUGGUAGUUUAAAAGACAUACCAAGCCUUCGACUUUUAGCGGGUCUGAGAGGACGAUCCGCCACACUGGGACUGAAAGACGGCCCAGACUCCUUAAUGGAGGCAGCAGUGAGGAAUCUUGGACAAUGAACAAACGUUUGAUCCAGCGACACCACGUGGGUGAACGAAGACAGUAUUGUCGUAAAACCCUUUUCUUUGGGAAGAACAUGACGUUACCAAAGAGAGAAAGUCCCGGCAAAUCUCGUGCCAGCCGCCGCCGUAAAAC
rnacentral:rRNA from 1 species